rnacentral:snoRNA from 1 species
AUGCAUCUUUGACCUGUAGCAAUUAAUGUCUGCUGCUAAGGUUGAUGCAAGAAAAAGAAAGUCCUUGCACUUUCUUUCUGGUUUUGGCAGUCAAGACUGAAUGGGGGAAUACAGGA